rnacentral:rRNA from 1 species
UACGGGGGGGGCAAGCGUUGUUCGGAAUUACUGGGCGUAAAGGGCUCGUAGGCGGCCAACUAAGUCCGACGUGAAAUCCCCAGGCUUAACCUGGGAACUGCGUCGGAUACUGGAUGGCUUGGAUUUGGGAGAGGGAUGCGGAAUUCCGGUGUAGCGGUGAAAUGCGUAGAUAUCUGGAGGAAUACCGGUGGCGAAGGCGGCAUCCUGGACCGACAUUGACGCUGAGGAGCGAAAGCUAGGGGAGCAAACGGG